GGUACGCACUACUGUCGGCCGGCUUUCGUGCCGGUUUUCCCGUCGUGGCCUUCGCCGGUUGCGGCGGGUGGCUGGCGAGUUUACUUUGAGAAAAUCAGAGUGCUCAACACAGGCGUCUAGCUUGAAUGAUUGUGCAUGGAAUAAUGGAAAAGGAUCACGGUCCUCUUUUAUUGGUUUUGUGGACUGAGAUAAUGGUUAACAGGGACAAACGGGGGCAUUCGUAUCGCUGCGUGAGAGGUGAAAUUCUUGGACCGUAGCGAGACGCCCGACUGCGAAAGCAUUUGCCAAGAAUGUCUUCAUUAAUCAAGAACGAAAGUCAGAGGUUCGAAGGCGAUCAGAUACCGCCCUAGUUCUGACCGUAAACGAUGCCAACUAGCGAUUCGCCGGUGGAUUUCACGCCCUGGUGAGUAGCUUCCCGGAAACGAAAGUCUUCCGGUUCCGGGGGAAGUAUGGUUGCAAAGCUGAAACUUAAAGGAAUUGACGGAAGGGCACCACCAGGAGUGGAGCCUGCGGCUUAAUUUGACUCAACACGGGGAAACUCACCCGGCCCGGACACCGUGAGGAUUGACAGAUUGAGAGCUCUUUCAUGAUUCGGUGGUUGGUGGUGCAUGGCCGUUCUUAGUUCGUGGAUCGAUUUGUCUGGUUUAUUCCGAUAACGAGCGAGACUCUAGCCUACUAAAUAGCCGCGAUAUUACUUUAACUGUGUCGCGCGCUUCUUAGAGGGAUUCGCGG
rnacentral:rRNA from 1 species